rnacentral:rRNA from 1 species
GACGAACGCUGGCGGCGUGCCUAAUACAUGCAAGUAGAACGCUGAAGGAGGAGCUUGCUUCUCUGGAUGAGUUGCGAACGGGUGAGUAACGCGUAGGUAACCUGCCUGGUAGCGGGGGAUAACUAUUGGAAACGAUAGCUAAUACCGCAUAAUAGUAGAUGUUGCAUGACAUUUGCUUAAAAGGUGCAAUUGCAUCACUACCAGAUGGACCUGCGUUGUAUUAGCUAGUUGGUGAGGUAACGGCUCACCAAGGCAACGAUACAUAGCCGACCUGAGAGGGGGAUCGGCCACCCUGGGACUGAGACACGGCCCCGACUCCUACGGGAGGCAGCAGUAGGGAAUCUUCGGCAAUGGGCGGAAGUCUGACCGAGCAACGCCGCGUGAGUGAAGAAGGUUUUCGGGUCGUAAAGCUCUGUUGUAAGAGAAGAACGAGUGUGAGAGUGGAAAGUUCACACUGUGACGGUAUCUUACCAGAAAGGGACGGCUAACUACGUG